rnacentral:misc_RNA from 1 species
AAGUCGUAACAAGGUUUCCGUAGGUGAACCUGCGGAAGGAUCAUUGCGAAUAUUGAGAUUGGAGGGAUGGGAUUGGUGGAAUGGGAUUGGCUGGUGUUGUUUGUCAAGCUAUUCUCUUCUGUUCUGCCAUACUAUCUCAACACAUGGUCUCGGACCGAGUAUUUGCAUCUGCGUUUAUUCGGACCGCUUGACAUUUACGCUUGUCUUGUUUGUCAGAGUUUAAUAUGCAAAGUUUAUACAACUUUUAACAAUGGAUCUCUUGGCUCUU